rnacentral:rRNA from 1 species
CAAUAGCGUAUAUUAAAGUUGUUGCAGUUAAAAAGCUCGUAGUUGGAUUUCUGGUCGGAAGCUCCUGUCCUCUGGUGAGCGUACAAGUGCGUCCUACCAUCCUUCUGUUAACCUUUAAGGCUUUCGCGGCUUUCUAGGGGCUCAGAUAUUUUACCUUGAGAAAAUUAGAGUGUUUCAGGCAGGCUAGCGCCGGAAUACAUUAGCAUGGAAUAAUGGAAUAGGACUUUUGCCUCUUCUGUUGGUCAUGAGGCUCGAGUAAUGAUUAAUAGGGAUAGUUGGGGGCAUUAGUACUUAACUGUCAGAGGUGAAAUUCUCGGAUUUGUUAAAGACUAACUUAUGCGAAAGCAUUUGCCAAGGAUGUUUUCAUUAA